rnacentral:rRNA from 1 species
GACGAACGCUGGCGGCGUGCCUAAUACAUGCAAGUAGAACGCACAGUUUAUACCGUAGCUUGCUACACCAUAGACUGUGAGUUGCGAACGGGUGAGUAACGCGUAGGUAACCUGCCUGGUAGCGGGGGAUAACUAUUGGAAACGAUAGCUAAUACCGCAUAAUAUUAAUUAUUGCAUGAUAAUUAAUUGAAAGGUGCAAUUGCACCACUACCAGAUGGACCUGCGUUGUAUUAGCUAGUAGGUGAGGUAACGGCUCACCUAGGCGACGAUACAUAGCCGACCUGAGAGGAGGAUCGGCCUACCUGGGACUGAGACACGGCCCAGGCGCCUUCGGGUAGCAGCAGUAGGGAAGCUUCGGCAAUGGACGAAAGGCUGACCGAACAACGCCAGGUGAGUGAAGAAGGUUGUCGGAUCGUAAAGGUCAGUUGUAAGAGAAGAACGGGUGUGAGAGUGGAAUGUUCACACUGUGACAAUAUCUGACGAGAAAAGGACGGCUAACUACGUG